rnacentral:rRNA from 1 species
AUUGAACGCUGGCGGCAUGCUUUACACAUGCAAGUCGAACGGCAGCACGGGCUUCGGCCUGGUGGCGAGUGGCGAACGGGUGAGUAAUAUAUCGGAACGUACCCAGAAGAGGGGGAUAACGUAGCGAAAGUUACGCUAAUACCGCAUACGAUCUAUGGAUGAAAGCAGGGGACCGCAAGGCCUUGUGCUCCUGGAGCGGCCGAUAUCUGAUUAGCUAGUUGGUGAGGUAAAGGCUCACCAAGGCGACGAUCAGUAGCUGGUCUGAGAGGACGACCAGCCACACUGGAACUGAGACACGGUCCAGACUCCUACGGGAGGCAGCAGUGGGGAAUUUUGGACAAUGGGCGCAAGCCUGAUCCAGCAAUGCCGCGUGAGUGAAGAAGGCCUUCGGGUUGUAAAGCUCUUUUGUCAGGGAAGAAACGGUAGAGGCUAAUAUCCUUUGCUAAUGACGGUACCUGAAGAAUAAGCACCGGCUAACUACGUG